rnacentral:rRNA from 1 species
AGUGAACGCUGGCGGCAGGCCUAAUACAUGCCAGUCGAACGGCAGCACAGUGGAGCUUGCUCCAUGGGUGGCGAGUGGCGGACGGGUGAGGAAUACAUGGGAAUCUGCCCAGUCGUGGGGGAUAACGUAGGGAAACUUACGCUAAUACCGCAUGCGCCCUUCGGGGGAAAGCCGGGGACCUUCGGGCCUGGCGCGAUUGGAUGAGCCCAUGUUCGAUUAGCUAGUUGGCGGGGUAAAGGCCCACCAAGGCGACGAUCGAUAGCUGGUCUGAGAGGAUGAUCAGCCACACUGGGACUGAGACACGGCCCAGACUCCUACGGGAGGCAGCAGUAGGGAAUAUUGGACAAUGGGCGCAAGCCUGAUCCAGCCAUGCCGCGUGAGUGAAGAAGGCCCUCGGGUUGUAAAGCUCUUUUGUCCGGGAAGAAAAGCAUCGGGCUAAUACCUCGGUGUUCUGACGGUACCGGAAGAAUAAGCACCGGCUAACUUCGUG